ACGAGUGAAUCAGAUCGCUGCUCUACUGCAGGAUAAACACUGUACACUCAACACACUGAAGUUAAGACACUGUGAUUUGACAGAUGAAGGUUGUUCUGCUGUGACUUCAGCUCUGAAAUCAAACCCAUCACACCUGAGAGAACUGAACCUGAGCUGGAAUAAACUACUAGGAGACUCUGGAGUGAAAAACCUCAGUGAUCUACUGAUGAACACACAAUUCAAGCUUGAGAAACUAGAGAAAAUCUGUCAAUCACCGGAGAUCACAGCAAUAACAAAUCACAGCAAUCCAGUUCAUUAAUGGACCAAAUUAAAUCCUGACAUACUUUCUUUUUUUUUACAUUCCCUU